rnacentral:snRNA from 1 species
CGUAAUUCUUUAAGGGAA